AGGUAUGGGACUAUUCUACUGGAGUGUUAAUGUCAGGGAUAUUAGCAGCAUUUCCUUUGCUAAGUCUACUAAUUGACGAAGAAAAGAGACAGAUCAUCACUGGAUGUGCUGUAGGACAGCUUUGGAUCUUCAGUUUAAGCAGUGAUCAUAGUUACCGUUGUGUGGCACAUACUGACUUAAAGAGCAAGAGAAAUUCUAUAAUAAAAUCUGGAAAUCUGAAGAAGAAUUAGGUGAAAGGCAAAAUGCUUCUGAGCUUUGCAAAACAAACAGCAUGAAACCAGAGGGGUCAGUGGAAGCAUCAUUGCCUGUUCUCCUAAUUGAACACUGUGACUAUUCAGUAUGUUUCCACAAUGAAGAAAAUAUAUGCUGUGCCCAGAAUAGAAGCUAUUUUUGGAUAGGAACCUCUACUGGCUUAUUAUUAAUAAAUUUAAUAAAAAUAAAUUUAAUAAACUUGGAACUGGAAGUGUUUUUAUGUUACAAAGGAAUCAUUAGAAAAUGUCUCGCUACAAUCUAACAUGAUUGCUUUUCUUUGUUGGCUGAUAUAAAUAGUAAAAGAAUUAGUUAAUACAGCAAAAAUGUUUUUUAAUAUUUUAAUUUAGCAAUUAAUUUUACUGUGCUUUUCUGUCACUGAUGACUUGUUUCAGAACAUGUGUCAGUACUAGAUUUUUGUAGUGGUUACUAAUGAAUUCUUAUUCAAUUUAUCAAGCCUCUCCCUGCUCUAUGAUUGAAGGGUGGUUCAUGCCCUUAAGGGUGUAGAUGAAGCACUUAGGCUAUAUAAGCUAGUGUAUACGUGUAAUAAACACCAUUUGCUGCUCAUCACAUUGGUGUCACCUCAGUAAUUGGCCAAGCUGCGGUCUCCUGGGGGAGCGGAAUGGGCACUUACUGCAACACCUUCGUGUUUCACAUCACCAUAGAACUCAUUUUUUCUCUUUUACCAGAUAAUUUGUUAAUUUCAGAGAGUAUUUGAUCUUGGUUCUUUUUUCUCCUGCAAAAUUGAUCUAAAACCAUCAUUCUGAGAUAGCUAGUGCUGUCAGCCUGUGCUCUCUGUGCAAAGCCAACUAAUCCCAGCCAGUGACUCCAACUUUUAUCCAUAAUGAUUGAGUUGCAGUCAUUAUCCAUCACAACUUCAGUCCUGAGUAGAAUCUACUCUGUCCGUGGUAGAAAACUUCAGUUCCCCCACCUCAGGUUUUCCAAAAGGUGACUUCAAAAACGUGCUGCCAGUUACUCCAUCUCUCUUGGUACUGUCUGUAGAAUAAUAAUGAAUCAGCAUUAGAAAUUCCCUGCUAAUCAUCGCUUUACUCUGACUCCUGUUCUUCAAAGGAACAAAGCACAGAGUUAGCCAUGUGGUGAGAUGAAAACAGGCUGAUCACUGCAAAAAUACUGCGUGGAUUUUGUUCCAGGUGAAAUGGAUAGCACUUAGGAGAACCCAGCACUUUCCAGCAAGAAAUCUUCCUUUGGAUUGAUGGAUUUGGAUUGCAGCAUUGCAUGUCAAGAUCUGGCUUAGGCUGAAGCUUCCAGGAAUUUCUGGAAAAGGUUGUUGAGUAUCAACUGACUUUUAGUUUCUAGCAAUUAUGAUGGCAGAGAAAACAAGAACUGUUAUUUCUUCUGACUGUCAAUACAGGAAUGAGAGAAAAGAACUCUCAGAAAAAAAUAAUCCGAUGAAAACAUGGAUUUCUCCCCCUCAUCUGUGGCAUUCUAUAAUGAUUCUAGCACACUGCUGUGCUCUUACUGUGUAAGUAUCCCAAUAUUGCUGUGAGAACUUUGAAAACAUCUCCACGUGCAUUUGCACAAAUGCAGGUUUGCUGUGACACUGGAUGACUCCAGAGGCUGAUCAUGCAAUGUUCAGUUCAGUUGGAGGUUAGGUGGGAUAAAGGCCAUCUAAUGUGCUCACACUGUCACAAAACCAUGGCAGAACAGAGAGAAGAGUCUGUGCAAAAUCAGAGUAUGCUGUGUAACAAAUCACCACUUCUUUUAGCCUUUAAAACUUCUCCGGGCCUGGAGUCUGCAGAAAGGAAUGGGAGAGAGCUGACCCUGAAGAUGCUCUGUCUUUUCUCUUUCAGGAGGCUGCUUGACAGGCAUUAAGGAAUCUGAGUGGCUUCAGCACAGAGAUGCAAAUGGUUGUAAAGGACUUUUCCCAGAGAACUUCACACGCCACCUGGAACAGUUCUUCUCACAGGACACGAAUGUGGUUUGAAGCUCAGUCAGUGGGUCCUUGAAACACAGGAGCCCCCUUUUUUUGUAGUUCAGGCUGUUAAUGGUUUACAGAUUGGUUGCUUGUUGAAGCAUAGCAAAAUGAGCACGAGUGCAAGCAGUUAAGCUAGCCAUUUCUGAAGCAGUGCGUGAAAACAAAUCAAAUACAAACAGAAAUGUCCUCAUUUGUUCACAUGCACGUGGCAACAGGUUUGUUUGUGCUUUGCCAGAGCUGUGGUGAUCCUGUGUUUGGUCCUUUCCCAUGAAAUCCAAAAUUAGCCUCCUUGGUAGCAAAACCUGAACUUGUCUGCACUCAGUGCAUCGUAUUGAGUUGCACUGCAGAAAACUUAAUUAGUAAUCCUGUAGUAAUGAGGUCAAACUAUUACAAGUUUCACGUGUUUAAAAAAUAUAAUUAACUGCUGCAGUGUUUUCCAGAGUUACUUGGAUGUGUGUCUGCAGGUGCAUGUGGGUAUGUGUGCGUCUCAGCAGUGUCAUGCAGUGCUGUGGCUGUGCAGUGCCAUCAGGGCAUGCAUUGCUCUCCCACUGCCUGGCAUUACAGACAACAGUUUUGUUCCAAAGCAGAACCAGCUGCUCCAUUGCCAAAGCACUGCACAGCGUCCGUGUGAGUGAGGUGAGGUUUUCAUUCUGAGAUGAUGAAUGGCAUCACUGUCAAAGCUGCUGAACCUUUGAGAAGGCAUGGCUCGGUUUCCUCUCCCAGCUGCAGUACCUACAGUGAGGUAAUCUGGAAGGGGAACCGUUAUGAUGCUCAUCUAUACUUUUUUAUUUAGUUGGCUGAAUAAAAAAAAAAAACACAACAAAGUUAAUCUCUGAGAAAUAAACAUCUUUUCACAAUAAUAUUUAUGCAGCGCACCUUCACAGAUCCUUUUAAAUUAAGGUACAUAAUGUAUGCUGUAUCAAGAAGUCACCUGUAACUUCUGUUUUCCAGUGCUGUGUCAUUAAAAAUAAACCUGUGAUCCACAGACGUUUCAUCUGUGAUGCUUUUGAAGUUGUGUUACAAUGAAUUUCACGUGGUUCCUGUGUUCUACUGGGGAAUCUAACUUUAAUUUCAUGCCUCUUUUCCCAAAGAAGCACAGCACAGCUGGGGCACCAUCUCAGCUCUUGCUUUCAACCCCCAGGUUCCAGCAGGUCUGACUCCCAGCUCAGCACAUCUCCUGGCUGCUCCUCCUGGAAAUGGGCUCUGGCCACCAGCAGCAGCAGGGGAACUUGUCUGUGCCCAGCUGUCACUCAGGCUGCUGCCUCUUAUUCGUCUCUUGCUCGUCCAUUGAUCUUGUGUGAAAAGAAAAUUCUCCAUCACUCUGCUCCGUUCUGUGUGCAAGCAAGGCAAAUUUUUCUAUUUUAUUCUUUUGUUUGUUGGUUUGUUGCUGUUACGUUCAAGUGAUGCCCUCCUCCCCAGAGCUGGAUCAGCCCAGAACUGUUUCCCACUCCUGCACUUCUCUGUUUAACGCACUGUGCUGCACUUAGUGAAUUACCAGAUUUUAUGCUUUCCAGGUGAUUGUGAAGCAAUAGCCGUUGUGUCUUGAUUUCUCUAGAGACUUAUUUCUGCCUAGGGCAGCACACACUGCUAACCUACAGCAGCUAUCAUUUCUAUUUCUGCACUGAGUGAACACUCAGAGCAUUUAGGGCCCCGAUGUCCCGAUCCUGUGGGCUGUGGACGCUGUGGCCGUGGAAGUGAGACAGAGUAACUGAAGGUGGAGGAGCAUUUCAUGAGAGCGAACUGAUCAAUUGUGUA